AUUGAACGCUGGCGGCAGGCCUAACACAUGCAAGUCGAACGAGCGGCGGACGGGUGAGUAAUGUCUGGGCAACUGCCCGAUGGAGGGGGAUAACUACUGGAAAAGGUAGCUAAUACCGCAUACCAUCGGAUGUGCCCAUAUGGGAUUAUAUAGGAGGGGGGGUAAAGGCUCACCUAGUCGACGAUCCCUAGCUGGUCUGAGAGGAUGCUCAGCCACACUGGGACUGAGACACGGUCCAGACUCCGACGGGAGGCCGCAGUGGGGAAUAUUGCACAAUGGGCGCAAGCCUGAUGCAGCCAUGCCGCGUGUAUGAAGAAGGCCUUCGUGUUGUAAAGUACUUUCAGCGCGGAGGCGUUACUCGCAGAAGAAGCACCGACUAACUCCGUGCCAGCAGCCGCGGUAAUUC
rnacentral:rRNA from 1 species